GCCGUCACUGUCAGUGAGAUAAGUGUCUUGUUAGGUGAGGGCUCUGCUCACUUCUCACUUGGCUUCAGGUACGGAUGCCCAGUUAGCUACGGCUCAGUGUGUAACAAAAUGAGCUGUGGAUAUGUGGGAGACAAGGUCCCCAUUUUCAACAUCAGCUCAUUUCUCCGUUCACAAGCGGUGUGUCCUCUGCAGAAAAGCUUGGAUCCAGGAGGAUGAUUCCAGCUGCGCUGGUACAGGAAUUGUCCAGGAACCCUACCCGGAGGAGAGACUCUCAGAAGUGAACCUGAUCAGCCUGAACAUCCUUCUAAGCAGACAUGAACAGUCCUCAGCUUUCUGCCUCCUGCAUAAAUGGCUAAAAAGAAGUCAUUUGCCAGUCUACUGCCCUCAUGUGAUGGAAAGCGAGCGAGAGCGAUGAGACCGUGAGCAUGGUUGAUGCCACGCAAAAGCCGUCCAUCUGGCAGCAGAAGAGCCG